GUUGCCCAGGCUGGGGUGCAGGGGCAUGAACAUGGCUCACUGCACCCUUGACCUUCUGGGCUCAAGCGAUCCUCUUGCCUCAGGCUUCUGUUUAGCUGGGGCCACAGGCGGGCACCAAAAUGCCUGGCUAAUUUUUUUGUUUUUAUUUUGGUAGAGACGAGGUCUCACUUUGUUGCCCAUGCUGUUCUCAAACUUCUCGGCUCAAGUGAUCCUCCCACCUCGGCCUCCCAAAGUGCUGUGUUACAGGCAUAAGCCACUGCACCUGGUCUCUACUUCGUUCUUACUCUUCUUCCCGACUCUGUGAUCAGCUCUUUUUCCUCACUGACAUCUCUUAUCACCAGCAGAGGCCUACCACUAGACACCAGGUCCGUAUUGGAAGCCUUGACUCUGGCCCAGACAUUUCUGCUGUACCUCAUGUAGGGUGAGCCCAGGACCUGCCACACUGUGCCAGCCUCGCCCAAGCCACCCCCCAGCCAGGACGCGGUCUUUCCUGACUCAGCAGGCUGAGGCACCUGAGGCUUUCAUUUUAAUUAUGAACCACUUCAAAGCCUUUCUGGAAGCAGUCUCUGCAAUAACCAACCUGGGUUCUCUCCUAAUGUGGGGAUUGUCCUGGAGCCCAGGCCUUCCAAGGCUCCUCCGCCCGCCAACAUCACCUACCUCAUCUUCCUCUUCAGCACAUCCCCAACAUUGUCUAAGCGGUAACUCACCUGAGCAAAGCACUUGACACGGAUUCAUUCAUUUACUCCUCACAACAACCUGAUGAGAGCACUGAUUAACUUCAAAGGGGAAAAACAAUAACCUUUACAAUGGAUAGAUCUGGCAGGAACCAUGUUAACCAAGUGAUCAAAGGUAGCAUCACCAAUAAUGGGGCAAACCGACAUCCUGUGCUUCCCCAUUGAUGCGCCGAGAAGGACACAGCAUUGCUCAUGCAGCAUCCUUGUCAAAAAUGCGUAAACGGAAUCUAAUCAUGAGAAAACUGCCAGACAGCCAAACUCUUCAGAAAUGUCAAUAUAAUGAAAGGCAACAAAGAUUGAGAAUAACUUUACCAGGUUAAAGAAAACUAAAAAGAUAUGACAACUGACUGCAACGCAGAAUCCUGGACCAGACCCUGGAUCUGGUCAAAAGAAAAAUGCUUUAAACGACAGUAUUGGGACAAAGGGUAAAAUUUGAAUGUGGAUCAUGUAAUAGAUGAAUAAUAUAUUGUAUCAAUGAU
rnacentral:lncRNA from 1 species